rnacentral:rRNA from 1 species
CCUACGGGGGACAGCAGUGAGGAAUAUUGGUCAAUGGACGCAAGUCUGAACCAGCCAUGCCGCGUGCAGGAUGACGGCCCUAUGAGUUGUAAACUGCUUUUGUACGAGGGUAAACGCAGACACGUGUGUCUUUUUGCAGGUACCGCACGAAUAAGGAUCGGCUAACUCCGUGCCAGCAGCCGCGGUAAUACGGAGGAUUCAAGCGUUAUCCGGAUUUAUUGGGUUUAAAGGGUGCGUAGGCGGUCGUAUAAGUUAGAGGUGAAAUCCCGAGGCUCAACCUCGGAAUUGCCGCGGAUACUGGUCGGCUAGAGAGUAGUUGCGGUAGGCGGAAUGUAUGGUGUAGCGGUGAAAUGCUUAGAGAUCACGCAGAACUCCGAUUGCGAAGGCAGCUUACC